GAAGUAGGGGAUAACACCUGGAAACAGAUGCUAAUACCGUAUAACAGAGAAAACCGCAUGGUUUUCUUUUAAAAGAUGGCUCUGCUAUCACUUCUGGAUGGACCCGCGGCGUAUUAGCUAGUUGGUGAGGUAAAGGCUCACCAAGGCAGUGAUACGUAGCCGACCUGAGAGGGUAAUCGGCCACAUUGGGACUGAGACACGGCCCAGACUCCUACGG
rnacentral:rRNA from 1 species